ensembl:lncRNA
CCCCCCCCCCCCCCUCCUCAAAUUCCCCAUCUUUUUUUGCUACUUUCCUCUCUCUCGCUCUCCAAAUCGCUCUCCCUCUUGUAUUCACAGAGUCAUUGACAAGACAUUCAAAGCUUUUUCAAAUUGGCCAGCCUCAUUGUGGCUGUUCUAAAGUGGAGGGGGGGCUCGGCUGGAGCGAGCGGGAGUGUAAAGAGGAGUGGGCCUAAAUAUACUCCGGUCUGAACGUAGUUAGAUCAUGUUCUUUUCAUGGUCCGAUUAGAAUCAAAUCGAUCCCCCCCCCCCCUGACACUCAGAGGUCUGAAGAGGAGCAGCCGGACAAAGAUUCCUCGGUGGAGACGGAUGAAUGAACCCAACCUGCUGAAUGCUAAACACAACCUUUAAGUGAGAGAUGGAGACAGAUAUGGUUCCUCAUCUAUGGAUCAUGAACCAGGCUGAGGACCCGUCAGAAGGUACUGCUGGUUCCUCAUCUAUGGAUCAUGAACCAGGCUGAGGACCCGUCAGAAGGUACUGCUGGUUCCUCAUCUAUGGAUCAGAAACCAGCCUGAGGACCCGUCAGAAGGUACUGCUGGUUCCUCAUCAAUGGAUCAUGAACCAGCCUGAGGACCCGUCAGAAGGUACUGCUGGUUC